GAUGAACGCUGGCGGCGUGCUUAACACAUGCAAGUCGAACGAAGCACUUUAACCUGAUUCUUCGGAUGAAGGUUUUUGUGACUGAGUGGCGGACGGGUGAGUAACGCGUGGGUAACCUGCCUCAUACAGGGGGAUAACAGUUAGAAAUGACUGCUAAUACCGCAUAAGACCACAGAGCCGCAUGGCUCGGUGGGAAAAACUCCGGUGGUAUGAGAGGGACCCGCGUCUGAUUAGGUAGUUGGGGGGGUAACGGCCUCCCAAGCCAACGAUCAGUAGCCGAGCUGUGAGGCUGGCCGGCCACAUUGGGACGGGGACGCGGCCCGAACUCCUACGGGAUGCGGCAGAGGGGAAUAUUGCACAAUGGGGGGAGCCCUGAUGCAGCGACGCCGCGAGAGCGAAGAAGUAUUGGAGGAUGUAAAGCUCUAUCAGCAGGGAAGAAAAUGACGGUACCUGACGAAGAAGCACCGGCUAAAUACGUG
rnacentral:rRNA from 1 species